rnacentral:piRNA from 1 species
UAGGACAUUGGUGAAGGCCAGGAAG